UUCUGUGAUCUUGGUGGUGUUGCUUAGCUUGAGUCUGUUUUCUCUUUGUAAAAUGGGGUGAACAACGAUGUCCACAUGGGUUGUGGUGAGGAAUAAAUGAGACUGUAUAUAGAGGGCCUGGCACAUAGUGUGUGUUCAGCACACAGUAGCGAAAGUAAAAGGACAGCAUAAAUAUUUAUUUCAGUCAUCAGCACUGAUUUGCAGUGAUUUGUCCUUCUGGUGUUCUUGCUUCCAGCCUCUGCUUUAGACCCAGAAGGAAAAGAAGUUACAGGAGCCGAUCUGUCUUACACUCUUCCAUGAUCAUAAUCAAGAGGUCCCUGGAUCUAGAGAGUCAGAGCACUAGAGCAAAAUG
rnacentral:lncRNA from 13 species